UGGGGGAUAUUGCACAAUGGAGGAAACUCUGAUGCAGCAACGCCGCGUGAGGGAAGAAGGUCUUCGGAUUGUAAACCUUUGUCCUUGGUGAAGAAAAGAAUGACGGUAGCCAAGGAGGAAGCUCCGGCUAACUACGUGCCAGCAGCCGCGGUAAUACGUAGGGAGCAAGCGUUGUCCGGAUUUACUGGGUGUAAAGGGUGCGUAGGCGGCUCUGCAAGUCAGGCGUGAAAACCAUGGGCUUAACCCAUUGGAUUGCGUUUGAAACUGUGGAGCUUGAGUGAAGUAGAGGUAGGCGGAAUUCCCGGUGUAGCGGUGAAAUGCGUAGAGAUCGGGAGGAACACCAGUGGCGAAGGCGGCUUACUGGGCUUUAACUGACGCUGAGGCACGAAAGCAUGGGUAGCAAACAGG
rnacentral:rRNA from 1 species